rnacentral:rRNA from 1 species
AUUGAACGCCGGCGGCAGGCUUAACACAUGCAAGUCGAGCGGGGUGAUGGUGCUUGCACUAUCACUUAGCGGCGGACGGGUGAGUAAUGCUUAGGAAUCUGCCUAUUAGUGGGGGACAACAUCUCGAAAGGGAUGCUAAUACCGCAUACGUCCUACGGGAGAAAGCAGGGGAUCACUUGUGACCUUGCGCUAAUAGAUGAGCCUAAGUCGGAUUAGCUAGUUGGUGGGGUAAAGGCCUACCAAGGCGGCGAUCUGUAGCGGGUCUGAGAGGAUGAUCCGCCACACUGGGACUGAGACACGGCCCAGACUCCUACGGGAGGCAGCAGUGGGGAAUAUUGGACAAUGGGGGGAACCCUGAUCCAGCCAUGCCGCGUGUGUGAAGAAGGCCUUAUGGUUGUAAAGCACUUUAAGCGAGGAGGAGGCUCUUUUGGUUAAUACCCAAGAUGAGUGGACGUUACUCGCAGAAUAAGCACCGGCUAACUCUGUGCCAGCCGCCGCGGUAA